UCCUGAUUUUUCGCACAUGCUAUCUGGUCACCCUAUCCCCAGCCCAGCCGUGUGUGACCAUUCCAAUCCUGAUUGGCUGCUGAGGAAGUGAGUUACUUCCACUUUCAUUCCUUACCCCCCCCCCCACGCACCUCACCCAACCCAGCCCUGCCGGAGGGGAGGGGGGAGAGAGAGGGGGUGCUCCUUGGGGGGGGGAGAAGAAUGGACAUUAUGGGGGACAACAAAGGAUACUGGUGCCAGAGCUGCUGAGCCUGCCUCACCUCACGCUGGGGGAAAGUCACGCUCACAGGUGAAAAGCAGCUGGCAAUCGACAGUAGAUACGGACACCGCAGUUACAGACUGACCAGUCAACCGGACACCACGUGGAACCAGAAGUACACAACCAGGCAGCAGUGGAGACAAAACGAAAAACCAAACCCCAGCCAAUCCUGUACCGUGCCUGUGUUGCAGCUUAAAAGAACCUGGAGCCCUCGCCAUGGAUGAAGCUAGUCCCAAGAAGGAAGGUGAAGGAGAAAUUACAUAGGCAGGACAAUACCCUGCUUCUGGACCCUUGAAAGCUGGAGAGAUGGGGAUAAAUUAGCAUGUCCAUUAGAUUUCUGACUCCCCUGUUCUCUUGGAGGGAGUAUGGAGAUGAAAGUGUCAUGCGCACCUGAGCUGUGGACAAUGCGACCCUCCCCCUACAAUCUAACCGAGCAGGGAAGAAGCUGACCAGAUUCAGAAAUGCAGACCCAACGGCGUUUAAUAACCGAGGGGACGGGAACCCUUAUCCCGCGAGGUCACAUUCUCAUCAUUCUCCUGCAUGACGUCCCUGUAGAGGGCUCUCGGAGCGGGGUCCAGCAGAGCCCCCUGCCCUGUGGUGAAAUACAACAGCCACCUCCUCGAAGGUCACCGGUAUCUGAAACAACAUCAGUUCCUCCACUCAGAGCCUGCUGCCCCGGCCACAAUCCCACUAGUCACGAAGGAGGAGGGAUGGAGAAUCAGAAUCCAAUCCCCACCCUGCUCAGAGGGGCCAGCAGGUGAGAGCCCCUGCUUCCUCCCAGCAGACGGAGAAGAGCGGGGUCUUCUCAUUUACCACACACCUGCUAGCUACAGGCUCCAAGCAGGGGACCGGGACAGAAAUCCCACCACCUUCAUAUUCCACGGUAGCCUCUGGCUAGUGCAGGGGUAGGCAACCUAUGGCACACGGGCCAAACGCCACACGCGAGCUGCUUUUCAGUGGCACUCACACUGCCCGGGUCCUGGCCACCGGUCCAGGGGGCUCUGCAUUUUACUUUAAUUUUAAAUGAAGCUUCUUAAACAUUUUAAAAACCUU